rnacentral:rRNA from 1 species
GUCCAAACUCCUACGGGAGGCAGCAGUGAGGAAUAUUGGUCAAUGGGCGAGAGCCUGAACCAGCCAAGUAGCGUGCAGGAUGACGGCCCUAUGGGUUGUAAACUGCUUUUAUGCGGAGAUAAAGUCGGCUACGCGUAGCCGUUUGAAAAAACCGCAUGAAUAAGGACCGGCUAAUUCCGUGCCAGCAGCCGCGGUAAUACGGAAGGUCCGGGCGUUAUCCGGAUUUAUUGGGUUUAAAGGGAGCGCAGGCCGGAGGUCAAGCGUGACGUGAAAUGUAGCCGCUCAACGGCUGAGUUGCGUCGCGAACUGGUUUCCUUGAGUGAGUACGACGUCAGCGGAAUUCGUGGUGUAGCGGUGAAAUGCUUAGAUAUCACGAAGAACCCCGAUUGCGAAGGCAGCUGACGAGUCCUUUACUGACGCUAAAGCUCGAAGGUGCGGGUAUCGAACAGGAUUAGAUACCCUGGUAGUCCGCACGGUAAACGAUGGAUGCCCGCUGUUUGCGAUAUAUUGUAAGCGGCCAAGCGAAAGCGUUAAGCAUCCCACCUGGGGAGUACGCCGGCAACGGUGAAACUCAAAGGAAUUGACGGGGGCCCGCACAAGCGGAGGAACAUGUGGUUUAAUUCGAUGAUACGCGAGGAACCUUACCCGGGCUUGAACUGCAGGAGAACGAUCCAGAGAUGGUGGGGCCCUUCGGGGCUCCUGUGGAGGUGCUGCAUGGUUGUCGUCAGCUCGUGCCGUGAGGUGUCGGCUUAAGUGCCAUAACGAGCGCAACCCCUUUCGCCAGUUGCCAUCAGGUGAUGCUGGGCACUCC